CCUAGCUUCGGCUGGACAUAUACUAAAAUUGGAACGAUACAGAGAAGAUUAGCAUAGCUCCUGCGCAAGGAUAUCAGAAAACAUCGUCGUUAGCGUCAACACUAA